UACGAAGGGGGCUAGCGUUGUUCGGAAUCACUGGGCGUAAAGGGCGCGUAGGCGGCGCGACAAGUCAGGCGUGAAAGCCCCGGGCUCAACCCGGGAACUGCGCUUGAUACUGUCGUGCUUGAGGCCGGGAGAGGAUGGCGGAAUUCCCAGUGUAGAGGUGAAAUUCGUAGAUAUUGGGAAGAACACCGGUGGCGAAGGCGGCCAUCUGGACCGGUUCUGACGCUGAGGCGCGAAAGCGUGGGGAGCAAACAGG
rnacentral:rRNA from 1 species